rnacentral:rRNA from 1 species
AUUGAACGCUGGCGGCAGGCUUAACACAUGCAAGUCGAGCGGAGCGGCGGACGGGUGAGUAAUGUCUGGGAAACUGCCUGAUAGUGGGGGAUAACGUCCGGAAACGGGCGCUAAUACCGCAUACUAUCAGAUGAGCCUAGGUCGGAUUAGCUAGUUGGGUGGGUAAAGGCGUACCAAGGCGACGAUCCGUAACUGGUCUGAGAGGAGGAUCAGUCACACUGGAACGGAGACAAGGUCCAGACUCCUACGGGAGGCAGCAGUGGGGAAUAUUGGACAAUGGGAGAAAGCCUGAUCCAGCCAUGCCGAGUGGGUGAAGAAGGCCUUCGGGUUGGAAAGCACUUUCAGCGAGGAGGCGUUACUCGCAGAAGAAGCACCGGCUAACUCCGUGCCAGCAGCCGCGGUAAUAC